CCUACGGGAGGCAGCAGUGAGGAAUAUUGGUCAAUGGACGGAAGUCUGAACCAGCCAUGCCGCGUGCAGGAAGACGGCUCUAUGAGUUGUAAACUGCUUUUGUACAAGGGUAAACCUGAAUACGUGUAUUCAGCUGAAAGUACUGUACGAAUAAGGAUCGGCUAAAUCCGUGCCAGCAGCCGCGGUAAGACGGAGGAUCCAAGCGUUAUCCGGAUUUAUUGGGUUUAAAGGGUGCGUUGGCGGAUUGAUAAGUUAGAGGUGAAAUGUCCGAGCUUAACUCGGGAACUGCCUCUAAUACUGUUGGUCUAGAGAGUAGAUGAGGUCGGCGGAAUGUAUGGUGUAGCGGUGAAAUGCUUAGAGAUCAUACAGAACACCGAUUGCGAAGGCAGCUUACCAAUCUAUAUCUGACGUUGAGGCACGAAAGCGUGGGGAGCAAACAGGAUUAGAUACCCCAGUAGUC
rnacentral:rRNA from 1 species